CUGAUUAUCAGCAAGAAAAGAAGAAAGAUACUCCGUUUCCAGUACUCAGCCAUACAAUUCCUGGCCAGACUAGCUACUGUGAUGUGAUGUGGAUUCUACCUGCACCUGCAGGAAAGACUACUCAGAGAUUCUGCACAGUAGACUUUCUCCCUUUUGGGGUAUAUUCAGCUCAACCUAUGAGAAAAUAUAUGGCAUUUGUAUAGAAUAUAGUUAUAUGAUUCAUUGACUAGAAUAACCUGCAUUUCAUUUUGAAGGUAAGUGUUUCUCCAUCUCCCAAAUUUUAGUGAG